rnacentral:rRNA from 1 species
UACGUAGGGGACGAGCGUUGUCCGAAUUUACUGGGCGUAAAGAGCGCGUAGGCGGGUUCUUAAGUGAGAGGUGAAAGGUUCAGGGCUCAACCCGAACAGUGCCUUUCAUACUGGGAGCCUUGAGUGUGGGAGAGGCGAGUGGAAUUUCUGGUGUAGCGGUGAAAUGCGUAGAUAUCAGAAGGAACACCCAUGGCGAAGGCAGCUCGCUGGCCUACAACUGACGCUGAGGCGCGAAAGCGUGGGGAGCAAACAGG